UGAGUCUUCGCUUGUGCCAGAAAU
rnacentral:piRNA from 1 species